rnacentral:lncRNA from 1 species
AUGCUUCCCCAUUUACCUCAUGCCUCCUCACUCCAUUUCCCUGCAUCCAAGCGUGCUGGAGCAGUACAGUUUCUGGAGAGGCCAGGCCUUUGCACCAGGAGUGGGACCUGCUUUUUUGCAGGAGAACAUCCCUUGACUGUAUCACAAUGCAAGAGAGUACUUUGGCUGAAGGGGUUGGCUGUGCACAAGGAAGGUGUGCUGUCCUCACUGAUCACAGGACCCACCACUGUGAUACGAAACAGACCACUAUGGUGAAGUCUUGCUGGAUACAUUUUUACCUCUUGAGAUGUCAUUUUCAGUGCAUUAAUCUUGUAGGUGCACUGAAACUCUCCUCACCCGUUUCUAUUUUGGGGUGAUCUGUGUGAAUAUAUAGGAAAAUAUCUGGUGUGAAAAGGUGCUUGAGGCUAGAAGCAAUUAAACUGAGGAUGGGGCUGUGGUUUCUUUCAAGUAAAUGUGUCAUCCACACUUCUGCAUCCUGGUCAUUUUGGUAGGAUCCUGUAUGGCAUUAUUUUUUUUUUUUUCUGAGGAAAUGAUGAAUUUCCAUCUCCCCAGCCAUUUGCACCUUUUUUUUGAUUCAAGCAGGAAUACUGGAAUAUGAUCCUCCAUGAUAUGCCCAGGACAUACACACAUACUUCAGGUAGAUUUAGGUGGAUCCAACAGCCUACAGAUUUACAGUAAUUUGCUUGGUAUAACUCACUGUUGCUUUCAUUCAAGAAAACAUCUGAAGAUCUGGAUUUCCAUACACUAGAAAGCCACUGUACUUGAGUGCUUUCUUUGGACUGGAUGGGAUAGUUUAACUUAUGCUCCUAGGAGCAAAACCAUUUUUCUUGACCAUUUCUUCUUCCCUCCUGAUCUGUGACAAUCCAAGACUCUUCAGUUUGUGCUGGAAAGUCUCUUUCCAUCUUUUCUUGUCCACCUGUUUGUCUCUUUGAGGGCCUCUUUGAGGCCAAGAGGGAAAACUGCUUUUAGACUCUUGAGACAAUUCAAGUAAGCUGGUUUGACUUUUCUUUAGGAUAACCAGGAUGUGCUUUUGAAGACUAGUGUAAGUACUUUAAAAAUACUGUCUCAUGAUAAAAC